AUGGCUUUCCUUUCGAACAAGCCAAAAUUUAAUUUAAGUCAAGAUAGAAACCAACCUGAUUCUCUCGGUAAUAUCAAAUCA
rnacentral:lncRNA from 1 species